GGUUAAGCGACUAAGCGUACACGGUGGAUGCCCUGGCAGUCAGAGGCGAUGAAGGACGUGCUAAUCUGCGAUAAGCGUCGGUAAGGUGAUAUGAACCGUUAUAACCGGCGAUUUCCGAAUGGGGAAACCCAGUGUGUUUCGACACACUAUCAUUAACUGAAUCCAUAGGUUAAUGAGGCGAACCGGGGGAACUGAAACAUCUAAGUACCCCGAGGAAAAGAAAUCAACCGAGAUUCCCCCAGUAGCGGCGAGCGAACGGGGAGGAGCCCAGAGCCUGAAUCAGUGUGUGUGUUAGUGGAAGCGUCUGGAAAGGCGCGCGAUACAGGGUGACAGCCCCGUACACAAAAAUACACAUAUUGUGAGCUCGAUGAGUAGGGCGGGACACGUGGUAUCCUGUCUGAAUAUGGGGGGACCAUCCUCCAAGGCUAAAUACUCCUGACUGACCGAUAGUGAACCAGUACCGUGAGGGAAAGGCGAAAAGAACCCCGGCGAGGGGAGUGAAAAAGAACCUGAAACCGUGUACGUACAAGCAGUGGGAGCCUCUUUAUGGGGUGACUGCGUACCUUUUGUAUAAUGGGUCAGCGACUUAUAUUCUGUAGCAAGGUUAACCGAAUAGGGGAGCCGAAGGGAAACCGAGUCUUAACUGGGCGUUAAGUUGCAGGGUAUAGACCCGAAACCCGGUGAUCUAGCCAUGGGCAGGUUGAAGGUUGGGUAACACUAACUGGAGGACCGAACCGACUAAUGUUGAAAAAUUAGCGGAUGACUUGUGGCUGGGGGUGAAAGGCCAAUCAAACCGGGAGAUAGCUGGUUCUCCCCGAAAGCUAUUUAGGUAGCGCCUCGUGAAUUCAUCUCCGGGGGUAGAGCACUGUUUCGGCAAGGGGGUCAUCCCGACUUACCAACCCGAUGCAAACUGCGAAUACCGGAGAAUGUUAUCACGGGAGACACACGGCGGGUGCUAACGUCCGUCGUGAAGAGGGAAACAACCCAGACCGCCAGCUAAGGUCCCAAAGUCAUGGUUAAGUGGGAAACGAUGUGGGAAGGCCCAGACAGCCAGGAUGUUGGCUUAGAAGCAGCCAUCAUUUAAAGAAAGCGUAAUAGCUCACUGGUCGAGUCGGCCUGCGCGGAAGAUGUAACGGGGCUAAACCAUGCACCGAAGCUGCGGCAGCGACACUAUGUGUUGUUGGGUAGGGGAGCGUUCUGUAAGCCUGUGAAGGUGGCCUGUGAGGGUUGCUGGAGGUAUCAGAAGUGCGAAUGCUGACAUAAGUAACGAUAAAGCGGGUGAAAAGCCCGCUCGCCGGAAGACCAAGGGUUCCUGUCCAACGUUAAUCGGGGCAGGGUGAGUCGACCCCUAAGGCGAGGCCGAAAGGCGUAGUCGAUGGGAAACAGGUUAAUAUUCCUGUACUUGGUGUUACUGCGAAGGGGGGACGGAAGAAGGCUAUGUUGGCCGGGCGACGGUUGUCCCGGUUUAAGCGUGUAGGCUGGUUUUCCAGGCAAAUCCGGAAAACCAAGGCUGAGGCGUGAUGACGAGGCACUACGGUGCUGAAGCGACAAAUGCCCUGCUUCCAGGAAAAGCCUCUAAGCAUCAGGUAACAUCAAAUCGUACCCCAAACCGACACAGGUGGUCAGGUAGAGAAUACCAAGGCGCUUGAGAGAACUCGGGUGAAGGAACUAGGCAAAAUGGUGCCGUAACUUCGGGAGAAGGCACGCUGAUAUGUAGGUGAAGCGACUUGCUCGUGGAGCUGAAAUCAGUCGAAGAUACCAGCUGGCUGCAACUGUUUAUUAAAAACACAGCACUGUGCAAACACGAAAGUGGACGUAUACGGUGUGACGCCUGCCCGGUGCCGGAAGGUUAAUUGAUGGGGUUAGCGGUAACGCGAAGCUCUUGAUCGAAGCCCCGGUAAACGGCGGCCGUAACUAUAACGGUCCUAAGGUAGCGAAAUUCCUUGUCGGGUAAGUUCCGACCUGCACGAAUGGCGUAAUGAUGGCCAGGCUGUCUCCACCCGAGACUCAGUGAAAUUGAACUCGCUGUGAAGAUGCAGUGUACCCGCGGCAAGACGGAAAGACCCCGUGAACCUUUACUAUAGCUUGACACUGAACAUUGAGCCUUGAUGUGUAGGAUAGGUGGGAGGCUUUGAAGUGUGGACGCCAGUCUGCAUGGAGCCGACCUUGAAAUACCACCCUUUAAUGUUUGAUGUUCUAACGUUGGCCCGUAAUCCGGGUUGCGGACAGUGUCUGGUGGGUAGUUUGACUGGGGCGGUCUCCUCCUAAAGAGUAACGGAGGAGCACGAAGGUUGGCUAAUCCUGGUCGGACAUCAGGAGGUUAGUGCAAUGGCAUAAGCCAGCUUGACUGCGAGCGUGACGGCGCGAGCAGGUGCGAAAGCAGGUCAUAGUGAUCCGGUGGUUCUGAAUGGAAGGGCCAUCGCUCAACGGAUAAAAGGUACUCCGGGGAUAACAGGCUGAUACCGCCCAAGAGUUCAUAUCGACGGCGGUGUUUGGCACCUCGAUGUCGGCUCAUCACAUCCUGGGGCUGAAGUAGGUCCCAAGGGUAUGGCUGUUCGCCAUUUAAAGUGGUACGCGAGCUGGGUUUAGAACGUCGUGAGACAGUUCGGUCCCUAUCUGCCGUGGGCGCUGGAGAACUGAGGGGGGCUGCUCCUAGUACGAGAGGACCGGAGUGGACGCAUCACUGGUGUUCGGGUUGUCAUGCCAAUGGCACUGCCCGGUAGCUAAAUGCGGAAGAGAUAAGUGCUGAAAGCAUCUAAGCACGAAACUUGCCCCGAGAUGAGUUCUCCCUGAGACUUAGAGUCUCCUGAAGGAACGUUGAAGACGACGACGUUGAUAGGCCGGGUGUGUAAGCGCAGCGAUGCGUUGAGCUAACCGGUACUAAUGAACCGUGAGGCUUAACCUU
rnacentral:rRNA from 1 species